GCUCAGAUUGAACGCUGGCGGCAGGCUUAACACAUGCAAGUCGAACGAUGAUUAUCUAGCUUGCUAGAUAUGAUUAGUGGCGGACGGGUGAGUAACAUUUAGGAAUCUGCCUAGUAGUGGGGGAUAGCUCGGGGAAACUCGAAUUAAUACCGCAUACGACCUACGGGUGAAAGGGGGCGCAAGCUCUUGCUAUUAGAUGAGCCUAAAUCAGAUUAGCUAGUUGGUGGGGUAAAGGCCCACCAAGGCGACGAUCUGUAACUGGUCUGAGAGGAUGAUCAGUCACACCGGAACUGAGACACGGUCCGGACUCCUACGGGAGGCAGCAGUGGGGAAUAUUGGACAAUGGGGGCAACCCUGAUCCAGCCAUGCCGCGUGUGUGAAGAAGGCCUUUUGGUUGUAAAGCACUUUAAGCAGGGAGGAGAGGCUAAUGGUUAAUACCCAUUAGAUUAGACGUUACCUGCAGAAUAAGCACCGGCUAACUCUGUGCCAGCAGCCGCGGUAAUACAGAGGGUGCGAGCGUUAAUCGGAAUUACUGGGCGUAAAGCGAGUGUAGGUGGCUCAUUAAGUCACAUGUGAAAUCCCCGGGCUUAACCUGGGAACUGCAUGUGAUACUGGUGGUGCUAGAAUAUGUGAGAGGGAAGUAGAAUUCCAGGUGUAGCGGUGAAAUGCGUAGAGAUCUGGAGGAAUACCGAUGGCGAAGGCAGCUUCCUGGCAUAAUAUUGACACUGAGAUUCGAAAGCGUGGGUAGCAAACAGGAUUAGAUACCCUGGUAGUCCACGCCGUAAACGAUGUCUACUAGCCGUUGGGGUCCUUGAGACUUUAGUGGCGCAGUUAACGCGAUAAGUAGACCGCCUGGGGAGUACGGCCGCAAGGUUAAAACUCAAAUGAAUUGACGGGGGCCCGCACAAGCGGUGGAGCAUGUGGUUUAAUUCGAUGCAACGCGAAGAACCUUACCUGGUCUUGACAUAGUGAGAAUCCUGCAGAGAUGCGGGAGUGCCUUCGGGAAUUCACAUACAGGUGCUGCAUGGCUGUCGUCAGCUCGUGUCGUGAGAUGUUGGGUUAAGUCCCGCAACGAGCGCAACCCUUUUCCUUAUUUGCCAGCGGGUUAAGCCGGGAACUUUAAGGAUACUGCCAGUGACAACUGGAUGAAGGCGGGGACGACGUCUAGUCAUCAUGGCCCUUACGACCAGGGCUACACACGUGCUACAUGGUAUGUACAGAGGGUUGCUACACAGCGAUGUGAUGCUAAUCUCAAAAGCCUAUCGUAGUCCGGAUUGGAGUCUGCAACUCGACUCCAUGAAGUCGGAAUCGCUAGUUAUCGCAGAUCUAAU
rnacentral:rRNA from 1 species